ACGCUGGCGGCGCGCUUAAUACAUGCAAGUCGAACGAGAAGCCAGAGCUUGCUCUGGUGGAAAGUGGCGAACGGGUGAGUAACACGUGAGAAACCUGCCCCAAAGAUUGGGAUAAGCCUUGGAAACGAGGUCUAAUACCAAAUACCUUCCUUUAACACAUGUUAAAAGAGAAAUGCUCCGGCGCUUUGGGAUGGUCUCGCGAUCUAUCAGCUUGUUGGUGAGGUAACGGCUCACCAAGGCAUCGACGGAUAGCUGGUCUGAGAGGAUGUCCAGCCACAUUGGAACUGAGACACGGUCCAAACUCCUACGGGAGGCAGCAGUAGGGAAUCUUGCACAAUGAGGGAAACCUUGAUGCAGCGACGCCGCGUGCGGGACGAAGGCCCUAGGGUUGUAAACCGCUUUCAGUAGGGACGAAAGUGACGGUACCUACAGAAGAAGCCCCGGCCAACUAUGUG
rnacentral:rRNA from 1 species